rnacentral:rRNA from 1 species
CUCUGUGACUCCUACGGGAGGCAGCAGUGGGGAAUAUUGCACAAUGGGCGCAAGCCUGAUGCAGCAACGCCGUGUGAGUGAAGAAGGUUUUCGGAUCGUAAAACUCUGUCCUAAGGGAAGAAACAAAUGACGGUACCUUAGGAGGAAGCCCCGGCUAACUACGUGCCAGCAGCCGCGGUAAUACGUAGGGGCAAGCGUUAUCCGGAAUCACUGGGCGUAAAGGGUGCGUAGGCGGCUUAGCAAGCCAGGGGUGAAAGGCAUUGGCUCAACCAAUGUAAGCCUUUGGAACUGUUAAGCUUGAGUGCAGGAGAGGUAAGUGGAAUUCCUAGUGUAGAGGUGAAAUUCGUAGAUAUUAGGAGGAACACCAGUGGCGAAGGCGACUUACUGGACUGUAACUGACGCUGAUGCACGAAAGCGUGGGUAGCGAACAGGAUUAGAUACCCUGGUAG